AUCCUGGCUCAGGAUGAACGCUAGCUACAGGCUUAACACAUGCAAGUCGAGGGGCAGCAUGAACUUAGCUUGCUAAGUUUGAUGGCGACCGGCGCACGGGUGAGUAACGCGUAUCCAACCUGCCCUUUAGUAGGGAAUAGCCCGUAGAAAUGCGGAUUAAUGCCCUAUGUUAUUCGUUGAGGACAUCUGAUGUGAAUCAAAGACUUUGUCGCUAAGGGAUGGGGAUGCGUCUGAUUAGGUAGUCGGCGGGGUAACGGCCCACCGAGCCUUCGAUCAGUAGGGGUUCUGAGAGGAAGGUCCCCACAUUGGAACUGAGACACGGUCCAAACUCCUACGGGAGGCAGCAGUGAGGAAUAUUGGUCAAUGGCCGCGAGGCUGAACCAGCCAAGUAGCGUGCAGGAUGACGGCCCUACGGGUUGUAAACUGCUUUUGCGGGGAAUAAAGUGCGGCACGCGUGCCGUUUGUAUGUACCCGAGAAUAAGGACCGGCUAAUUCCGUGCC
rnacentral:rRNA from 1 species